rnacentral:rRNA from 1 species
CCUACGGGAGGCAGCAGUGAGGAAUAUUGGUCAAUGGCCGGAAGGCUGAACCAGCCAAGCCGCGUGAAGGACGAAGGUGCCAAGCAUUGUAAACUUCUUUUGUCAAGGGACAAAAUCAGGCUCGCGAGCCUGACCGAGGGUACUUGAAGAACAAGCAUCGGCUAACUCCGUGCCAGCAGCCGCGGUAAUACGGAGGAUGCGAGCGUUAUCCGGAUUUAUUGGGUUUAAAGGGUGCGUAGGCGGGCUGUUAAGCCGGCGGUAAAAAGUCAGGGCUCAACCCUGUCGAGCCGUCGGAACUGGCAGUCUUGAGUGGGCGAGAAGUAUGCGGAAUGCGUGGUGUAGCGGUGAAAUGCAUAGAUAUCACGCAGAACGCCGAUUGCGAAGGCAGCAUACCGGCGCCCAACUGACGCUGAGGCACGAAAGCGUGGGGAUCGAACAGGAUUAGAUACCCUGUAGUC